AGACAGGUUACCCUCCCAUGCCAGACCAAACUUGUGGUAAACACAUUCACAAUAACAUUUCAGCAAAUUGCAACACUUGCGAUAGAGUAUCUCUCUGAACGUCUCUCUCUUUGUAAAUGUGUGUUGGGGCGCAUGUUGGUAUCUCUGUAUUCAGCUCAGGUGUUUGGGGGUGCAUGCUGGUAUCUCUCUAUGUAGCUCAGGUGUUGGGGUGCAUGCUGGUAUCUCUCUAUGUAGCUCAGGUGUUGGGGUGCAUGCUGGUAUCUCUCUGUGUAGCUCAGGUGUUGGGGUGCAUGCUGGUAUCUCUGUGUAGCUCAGGUAUUUUGGGGUGCAUGCUGGUAUCUCUGUGUAGCUCAGGUGUUUGGGGGUGCAUGCUGGUAUCUCUGUGUAGCUCAGGUGUUGGGGUGCAUGCUGGUAUCUCUGUGUAGCUCAGGUGUUUGGGGGUGCAUGCUGGUAUCUUUGUGUAGCUCAGGUGUUGGGGUGCAUGCUGGUAUCUCUGUGGAGCUCAGGUGUUGGGGUGCAUGCUGGUAUCUCUCUAUGUAGCUCAGGUGUUGGGGUGCAUGCUGGUAUCUCUGUGUAGCUCAGGUGUUUGGGGGUGCAUGCUGUAUCUCUGUGGAGCUCAGGUGUUUGGGGGUGUGUUCCGUGGGUCGGUGAUGCGGCGGGGGGCGUGUCCGGGCUGACCUGGUACAUGGCGUAUUUAG